rnacentral:lncRNA from 1 species
CUUAACAACAUGGAUAUAGGGCCAUUGAAAAAUUAAUAAAUAUAGUAGAUACAAUUAGGAGAAUUAACAUCGCUACCUGCAAGGGACCAAGUGGCCAUAAGAGGAAUCACAAAGAUAGUUAGUAAGAUUGGUUAUUAACUUUGGUAAACAAAUAAAUAGGAAUAAAAAUAAAGUAGGAAUAAUUAUAGAUAAGAGUUUAAAAGAUGAGGUGGUAGAUAUUAAGAGAGUAGGAGAUAGAAUAAUCUUAAUAAAAUUUAUGUUAAGAGAGG